AAAGAACUUUCAAAUUCGUGCACAGAAUGAAAAUUUUCCAUGAAUUAUAAUAAAAUUAAUAACUUCACACCUCUGAAAUUCGUAACAACAUUACUUAUAAUUCGUGACUACAAUAAUAAUUUCCCAGAGUACAUCAUUACUUCCACUUCGAGCAUAAAUUAAAUUCGAAAGUAUUAAAUAUAAUUUGUAACAAAAGUACCUUCAAUUCGUGCAUAGAAUGAAAAUUUUUCAUGUUACAUGAAUUAGAUCGUGUAAGUUAUGA
rnacentral:lncRNA from 1 species